GCUGGGUGUGGUGGUGCACACCUGUAAUCCCAGCAAACUGGGAAGCUGAGGCAGGAGGAUCACGAGUUCAAACCCAGCCUCAG
rnacentral:sRNA from 1 species